AAAGAAAAUAACAAUGAUUCCCCUAGUAACUGCGAGUGAAGAGGGACAAGCUCAAAUUUUAAAUCUGUUAGGUUUACCUAACCGAGUUGUAAUUUGAAGAGGCGUUUUCUGUGUUUCUGAUCAGCCCAAGUCCUUUGGGAUAGGGCAUCAUGGAGGGUGAGAAUCCCGUUCGGUUGAUCAGAUUCGCUUUACGAUACGUCAUCUAAGAGUCAAGUUGUUUGGGAUUGCAGCUUAAAAUGGGAGGUAAAUUUCUCCUAAGGCUAAAUAACGGCGAGAGACCGAUAGCGAACAAGUACCGUGAGGGAAAGAUGAAAAGAACUUUGAAAAGAGAGCUAAACAGUACGUGAAAUUGUUGAAAGGGAAACGAUUGAAGCCAGUCGUACCUUCGGGUAAUCAGCCUUUCGAGUGCGAUUCUGUGGAGUGUGAGGAGUUAAACGCCUUCAUGCCUGCAUAUUCGUGCACUUUGGGUGUACUUGCCCGUGUGGUAGGUUAACAUCAAUUUCGGAUGUCAUAAAAUGGCUGGAGGAAUGUAGCUUCGGUCUCGUAUUGAAGUGUUAUAGCCUCUGGUAGAUGUGAUGACCGGGAUUGAGGAUUGCAACGAAUACCUUUUGGGCUAUCCGCCUGAUCUCUGAAAGUUGCUCUGGUGCCGAAAGCGUGCUUACGGCUAUCAAAGUUGACGUUCAAAAGGUUAGAACGGGUUAAAUUCGUUAAGGAUGUUG
rnacentral:rRNA from 1 species